GAUGAACGCUAGCUACAGGCUUAACACAUGCAAGUCGAGGGACCGGCGCACGGGUGAGUAGCACGUAUCCAACCUGCCCUUUACGCGGGGAUAGCCUUACGAAAGAAAGAUUAAUACCCGAUAGAAUGGAUGGGUAUGGGUUCCGUUAGGUUGUUGGUGAGGUAACGGCUCACCAAGCCUUCGAUGGAUAGGGGUUCGGAGAGGAAGGUCCCCUGCAUUGGAACUAGGGCGCGGUCCAAACUCCUAGGGGGGGCAGGAGUGUGGAAUAUUGGUCAAUGGGCGCUAGCCUGAACCAGCCAAGUAGCGUGAAGGAUGAAGGCUUAUGGGUCGUCAACUUCUUUUGUAUAAGAAUAUGUAUUAUAUGAAUAAGGAUCGGCUAACUCCGUGCCAGCAGCCGCGGUAAUUC
rnacentral:rRNA from 1 species